rnacentral:rRNA from 1 species
GACAGAGGUGCCAAGCGUUAGGCGGAAUCGCUGGGCUUAAAGCGUGUGUAGGUGGAUGUCUAAGUACCUUGUGAAAUCCCACGGCUCAACCGUGGAACUGCUCGGUAUACUGGAUGUCUUGAGCCACUUAGGGGCUACCGGAACAAAUGGUGGAGCGGUGAAAUGCGUAGAUAUCAUUUGGAACGCCAAUGGUGAAAACAGGUAGCUGGGAGUGUGCUGACACUGAGACACGAAAGCCAGGGGAGCGAACGGG